AGCUCAAAUUUGAAAUCUGGCUUCGGCCCGAGUUGUAAUUUGCAGAGGAUGUUUCUGGCGCGGUGCCUUCCGAGUUCCCUGGAACGGGACGCCAUAGAGGGUGAGAGCCCCGUAUGGUUGGAUACUAAGCCUGUGUGAAACUCCUUCGACGAGUCGAGUAGUUUGGGAAUGCUGCUCAAAAUGGGAGGUAAAUCUCUUCUAAAGCUAAAUAUUGGCCAGAGACCGAUAGCGCACAAGUAGAGUGAUCGAAAGAUGAAAAGCACCUUGAAAAGGGGGUUAAACAGUACGUGAAAUUGUUGAAAGGGAAGCGCUCAUGACCAGACUUGUGCUGGGCAGCUCAUCCGGGGUUCUCCCCGGUGCACUCUGCCCAGUUCAGGCCAGCAUCGAUUUUUGCUGGGGGAUAAGAACGGUAGGAACGUGGCCCUCCUUCGGGUGGGUGUUAUAGCCUGCCGUACGAUACCCUGGCGGAGAUCGAGGUUCGCGCAUCUGCAAGGAUGCUGGCGUAAUGGUCAUCAGCGACCCGUCUUGAAACACGGACCAAGGAGUCGUCCAUUAGAGCGAGCGUUUGGGUGUAAAACCCGCACGCGUAAUGAAAGUGAAAUUAGGUGAGAGCUUCGGCGCAUCAUCGACCGAUCCUGAUGUUCUCGGAAGGAUUUGAGUAAGAGUUUUAACGGACGGACCCGAAAGACAGUGAACUAUGCUUGUAUAGGGUGAAGCCAGAGGAAACUCUGGUGGAGGCUCGCAGCGGUUCUGACGUGCAAAUCGAUCGUCAAAUAUGAGCAUGGGGGCGAAAGACUAAUCGAACUGUCUAGUAGCUGGUUACCG
rnacentral:rRNA from 1 species